rnacentral:rRNA from 1 species
CCUCUGUUGCUUCGGCGCCGCGCGGCCCUCCGUGGCCGACCCCCUCCCCGGCGGGGCGGCCAGCGCCCGCCAAAGGACCAUCGAACUCCAGUGGCCUACGAUGCCUUGUGAAUAACAUUUAAUAUCUGAAACUUUCAACAACGGAUCUCUUGGUUCUGGCAUCGAUCACUAGGUUCUGGAAAUGCGAUAAGUAAUGUGAAUUGCAGAAUUCAGUGAAUCAUCGAAUCUUUGAACGCACAUUGCGCCCUUUGGUAUUCCGAAGGGCAUGCCUGUUCGAGCGUCAUUACAACCCUCAAGCUCUGCUUGGUAUUGGGCACCGUCCUUUGCGGUUGCGCCUCUAAGACCUCGGCGGUGGCGUCUUGCCUCCUGCGUAUUAGAACAUACAUCUCGCUUCGGACCGCAGGGCGUCGCCCGCCGGACGAACCUUCUGAACUUUUCUCAAGGUUGACCUCGGAUCAGGUAGGGAUACCCGCUGAACUUAAGCAUAUCAAUAAGCGGAGGAAAAGAAACCAAUAGGGAUUGCCUUAGGACGGCGAGUGAAGCGGCUUGCCCUCAAAUUUGAAAACUGGCUCCUUUGGAGUCCGCGUUGUAAUUCUGGCAGGAUGAUUCAUUGUAGGGCUCCCGCCUAUGCUCUCCUGGAGGUGACCGUCAUAGUUCCGUGAGAAUCCCAUAUGCAGAGGGCUGACAGCCCCGUGUGGAUCUCCUUCGACGAGUCGUAGAUGCUCCGUCAAUGCAGUCUCUAAGUGUGAGGAAUGCUGUCUCUCUAAUGGCUAAGUAACAUCGUCUUCAGACCGAUAGUGCCCGACCUAGAGAUGAUCGAGAGCAUGAGUAGCACUGAUCGAAAGAUAGAUAAACACCUUCGAAAAGGUGUGAAACAGUACGUGAUAGUGUCAAACGUGACCGCUUGUGAUCAGACUUGCGCUGACAGUGCACCUUCGUGCUGCCCAUGUCGACAUCAGCCGGGUCAGGCGAUAAACGACUUCAGUGAUGAGACUACAUCUGUGGAAACGUGUAGCCCUCGCUGGGAAGUCGUCAGCCGGAACUGAGAAUCUGCUCAGGACUACGAGGCUGCGCAUCGCAUGUACGUCGCACUGGAGACUGGACACGAGCUAA